rnacentral:rRNA from 1 species
UACGUAGGGGGCAAGCGUUGUCCGGAAUCAUUGGGCGUAAAGAGCGUGUAGGCGGUCCGGUAAGUCGGCUGUGAAAGUCCAGGGCUCAACCCUGGGAUGCCGGUCGAUACUGCCGGACUAGAGUUCGGAAGAGGCGAGUGGAAUUCCCGGUGUAGCGGUGAAAUGCGCAGAUAUCGAGAGGAACACCUGCGGCGAAGGCGGGUUGCUGGGCUGAUACUGACGCUGAGGCGCGAAAGCCAGGGGAGCGAACGGG